rnacentral:pre_miRNA from 1 species
AAAUUACUCCCUCCGUCCCAAAAUUCUUGUCUUAGAUUUGUCUAGAUACGGAUGUAUCAAGUCACAUUUUAGUAUUAGAUACAUCCGUAUCUACACAAAUCUAAGACAAGAAAUUUGGGACAGAGGGAGUAGUUG